rnacentral:rRNA from 1 species
UUGGAGGGCAAGUCUGGUGCCAGCAGCCGCGGUAAUUCCAGCUCCAAUAGCGUAUAUUAAAGUUGUUGCAGUUAAAAAGCUCGUAGUUGAAUUUCGGGAUCAAUUUAUUGGUCGUGCCAACGGUACGCACUGAUACAAUUGGUUUCUCCCUUCUGACGAAGCAUGAUGUCAUUAAUUUGAUGUCGUGGGGAAUCAGGACUGUUACUUUGAAAAAAUUAGAGUGUUUAAAGCAGGCUUUGGCUUGAAUACAUUAGCAUGGAAUAAUGAAAUAGGACGUUUGAUCUUAUUUCGUUGGUUUCUAAGAUCGACGUAAUGAUUAAUAGGGAUAGUUGGGGGCAUUAGUAUUCAAUUGUCAGAGGUGAAAUUCUUGGAUUUAUUGAAGACUAACUACUGCGAAAGCAUUUGCCAAGGAUGUUUUCAUUAAUCAAGAACGAAAGUUAGGGGAUCGAAGACGAUCAGAUACCGUCGUAGUCUUAACCAUAAACUAUGCCGACUAGGGAUCGGAUGAUGUUAAUUUUUUAAUGACUCAUUCGGCGCCUUACGGGAAAC